CCUACGGGAGGCAGCAGUGGGGAAUAUUGCACAAUGGGGGAAACCCUGAUCCAGCGACGUCGCGUGAGUGAAGAAGUAAUUCGUUGUUUAAAGCUCUAUCAGCAGGGGAGUAAAUGGCGGUACCUGAGUAAUAAGCCCCGGCUAACUACGUGCCAGCAGCCGCGGUAAUACGUAGGGGGCCAGCGUUAUCCGGAUUUACUGGGUGUUAAGGGGGCGUAGACGGGAGUGCAAGUCUGGAGUGAAAGGCUGGGGCUCAACCCCAGGACUGCUAUGGAAACUGUACGGCUGGAGUGCAGGAGAGGUAAGCGGAAUUCGUAGUGUAGCGGUGAAAUGCGUAGAUAUUAGGAGGAACACCAGUGGCGAAGGCGGCUUACUGGACUGUAACUGACGUUGAGGCUCGAAAGCGUGGGGAGCAAACAGGAUUAGAUACCCCGGUAGUC
rnacentral:rRNA from 1 species